AUGUCAUGAUGUGGGCAUUUCCUAAGCAAAUCAUUAAACCUUUCCCAUGCCUCAUGAAACAUUUCCCCAUCCCCUUGAGAACUUGAGAAAAUUCACGAAUGGAAGU